AAACUUGCAUUGAAACUGUUGUCAAUGAAAUUCUCUUCCCUUUUGUGCGCUACUUCAGAAGAUGAAAUUAUAGCAACUUAUUCACAAUAUUUCAAAAAUUCAAAGGGGAAUUAAUAUUAAUAUCCAAAAUUUACUCAGUAGGGCAAAAAUCAAACCCUUUUCCCAAUUAUAUCACUGCCUUAUUUGCAUUUUAUUCAAAAUUAUUCUUACCGAAAGUCACAUCAUUCUUAUUUGCAGAAUUUAUGUAUGUGUGUGUGUUGUUGCCUUUUUCAAUUUGAGCUUUAAUUCAUUCCACGCCAAGAUUUUCUAAGGAUUCAUGGCUCAUCCUCUAGCAAUUCUUCUUGUUUGGUAUUUCUAUAUACUUUUUCCUAAAUCAAAAUACAACAAAUUACACCUGAUAUAACGUCUAGUUAUCCUGGUGGCAUCCUCAAUUCCUCAGUACCCACCUUGUUUAGCAAACAAAAGAAAUGUGCUCUGAAAACCCUGGUAAAUGGAGGUUCACAUGGGUGACCCAAUCUCACGUCCCAAACCUCAAACUAUUCCUAUUCGAUUCCCACACAAAACCUUCAAUUUCUUUGCAAAGACCUCAAGGUCCGGCUAAAUCUCCUACAAUCUCAACUUCUUUUGACCUGGAUUGGAGAAGAUACCGAGAAGGUCUCGCUUAGGGUUCCGAUUCCUAAGGUUCUGAUCGACCCUGAUUCUCCGAUUUGAAGAGUUUUCCUUUGAUGGAAGGAGUGCAUUUUUACUGCAGAAGUUGUUAAACUAGAUUGACUAGAAGUUGCAUCAGUUCAUAUGUAGACAUUUCAUGGAAAUGCCAUCAGUUAACUGGAGAGAGUGGCUGACAAUUGGUUUGGAGCUUGCUGUUGUUCAUUUGAGUGAGAAGCUGGUGAAUAGGUUUGCAUUUGCUUAUACAUGUGCAAAGUGCAUUUUCUUGUUAAAUUCUACAGCUGUUAUUCUUUCCAGGGAUGAUUUUGUAGGAUGUAAAUUUACUGACUGGGAUGGAAUUCAAAAGCACGAGCCAGAUAGAAUUUUGCUGGUGACAAUGGUUUAAGUGAAGGUGCGAUGCCAGAUUUUGGAUCUAGUUUGAGAAGAUAUGCCAGUUGUGUGAUAGUCAUUGCGAGAGAGUGGAUGCUAAUGGGACUUUGAGGUCUUUGCAUCUCAAUUUUAAUAACCAUGCUGAGAACAUCAAAUGUAAAGGGAGGAAGAACCCACUGCGAAUGGAUUAUUUUCUGUGCCAUCAGCAUCAGAUCUCUCUGAAAAUGUAGCAUUGAAACUUGGAUGUUGCCAUUCUACAUAUUAUGCUCAAGAUUAUGUUGAAGUAAGCACACACAAGGUGUCAAAGCUUUCCUUAGCAGACCAAACAAAGAAUAAAGCUGUGAAGGCCAUGGAAAAUCGGAGAUCUUUUCUAAAUGGUUUUCUUGGAGAUGUUUUUAUGGCUAGAUCCUAUAAUCUUUCUAUGGAUAUUGAGUGGAAGCAAUUUGUUUGCCCUCAGUGUUCAACUGUUCUUGGAGCUUAUCCUUGUGCUGAUGGUGAUAUCCCUGUAGAUGAUGGAGAUAGAUUUUAAAAAUCCCAUUUCUUCCUGUUCUGUCUAUUAAACUAUUUAACAAUCUGCAGGGUGUCAGAAGAUUGGGUGACAAAGAAUCUAGCACAUGAAGUUUUCAUGUUGCCGAGUCUAAUAGAAGAAUCGACUGAAAAAAUCACAUCCAUGAAGGAUCUACUUCCACCUUCUUCUACUUUCUUGCGGGAUUUAUCCCUGUGAUUCAUGCUGAGGUAAUGCUUAGCCAUAUCAAUGGAAGUACUCAUACAGAGCUAAGUAAGAGGGGAUGGAAAAAUGAUUAUGUGGGCCAUGAGCUCACAACCGUUAUUUAUUUCAAUUGAUUAACGUUAUUUUCUUUCAAUUUUAUGUCUUACUAUGACUUGUCAUUGGUGAUAAUUGUUAAAAAUAAUUUAUUGUAGUUAAUAGACUAGUAAGUAUAUAUUUAAAAAGAUUGAUUCAUUUAAACAA